GUCAUACUCACACCCACGGCACCAAAUGCGCUAAACCACUGAUGUAUUGCUGUCCCGUGUAACUACUGCAGUGAGACAGCAAUUUCUGUGGAUCAAUUGAUGGUGUAAGGAGGGGAGGACGGAGGGUAUUAUCCCGUCUUGGACUCGGGUGGACUGCCGGUUAUGCGGGGCCAGACGCGCAGUUCACGGCUGUCGGAUCCGGAUCUCACAAGUGACCUGCUUGGGACCCCAGCCUAUGGACUCCAGAGAAGUUUAUCCAGCCCUGAGCACAGGGCUUCGCUUUAGCCCAGCUGCAUGUGGAAGGACAGCGGAUGUGUCUUGUGCACAGCGCGCUGGGCUGUGAUGAAGGGCUUCCACCAUCUAUCUGCCAUUACACCUGUUAACCAUGUAUCGUACAGCGUGCUGGAGAAGCAUGACAUGCUCUAUAUAUACAUCCAGCAUGGGGGGGGGGGUUGAAGCUUAGGAAGGAGGUUUAAUCUUAGACAGGGGGACACAUUCUGCUCAGUGGGCCUAUCGCUGUCACCAGCACUGUAGAGCAAGCAUGAGGACAAGGCAUUAUGGGUAAUAUGACAUAUGAAGUUAGAUGCUGACUGCGGCGUGCUCAAAGACACCAGAUAAAAAGAGUUACAUAAAUUCCAAGUUAUUAGCGCUAACGUUGCAUUUUUUUAUUCAGUUGUUUUGAUGCCGGGGAUUGAAUAUUAGAACAUCUUUUUUUUUUCGUAAACGAGGGGUGGAGAGAGCCGGUGAGGGCUACAUCUGAGGCUGCAUCGUUAGAGAGACUGACACGGGAGAGACCUGCUCUCGGCUGCGGAAAGCGGCGCUCGCGAUCCGCGUGGGAGCACAACACAGUUCGCGAGGCACGUGAGACGUCGGCUGAGGAGCCUCCCGCGGUCCCAGCUCCACAAAGGCAGAGAACAAAGUUAGCAGAUCGUGCCGAUUGUUUACAGGAGCGCGGCUUCUGAAAACGCCGUGAGACGUUCGUUGAGUGGAAAAAAGGAAUUCUCUCGACAUCCAUUUAGCUCUGUUUUCACGUUCGGCAGUUGAGCAGUAUGAUCCUACAGCUAAGCCCUGCUGCUUCUGGUCUGGUGACAUAUAACCCUCCAGAUUCAGCUGUUUACAGGUAGGAAGACAUGGAUAGCUGCAGCCCCUGACCCAACCCCUGUAGGUUUCCUGUUCCUCUGCGUUGAGGGGAGCAGCAUGCUUUGCAGUAUCUGCCAUGGAGCCCUGGCAGAGACUCAAACCCUUGUGCCAGAAGUUUGAGGCAACAGUGCAAACCACUGUGUCACCAUGCUGCCCAAGUGAAAUAUCCUUCUGUCUAAAAUGGGUGCAUUGUUAGGUGCUCAUGAUGAAAGCAACAGGAUAGUAAAUGUUUGGUCCAACUGCUUCUCCUGGUCAGGAUUGCAGAGGGGUCUGGAGCCCAUCACCACCUGGGCUGCACCAUGGACAGGAAGCUGGAUGAAUAAUAGUCAACAUAUCUAAUAUUUUUGGCGAUUUUUGAUAAUCAUAGUAUUGAAAUGGAUGGUGCAAUGGGUGAUACUGUUGGGUCCCACCCAUUCAAAGCAGUGGGGGUGGAGUUUGCAGGUUCUCAUCUCUGGCUGCUCUGAUUUCUUCCAUCAGUUCAAACACAUGCAGUUUAUUGAACUGGAAUCUCUAAAUUGUGAAUAUUGUGUGUGCAGCCUGUGAAUGACUGGCACCAUUGGCAAAGAGCCCCAUACCUCCUGGGACAGAUUCCAGACUCCCCAUGACCCUGUACUGGAAAGUUAGAGUAGGAGACCAAUGGAUGGAUUAUGUUUUAUUGCUCUUAAAUACGGGAGGAUUUCAGUAAAAAUGACGUGUCUAGCUCUGCACCCGUCCCUGUGGUAAUAAUAUCCAAGGAUGGCCCAUUCACAGGUUCUGGAGCCUGAUUCUGGUGGCCGCCGAGGCUACAGCGUACAGGAAGGGAUGUUUGUUAACAAUUUCACUGCAUGUUCUCAGUGGGCUACAGAAACGCAAGGUCAACCGGAAAAAAAAAAAUAUCAUGCUACAGAUGUAAGUAAUUUAGGAAGCAGACCUCCCGGGCAGCAGCCGACCCAGACCAGCUCGCGGUUCCGAAUGACGUGGCCGAAGAUCCGACGGGUGGCCAGGGGAGUCGAGGCCCGGACGCCUCAGCCACGGAGCCAGGGGACGGACAACAUGAAAAGCAGCAGUUUUUGCCGUCUGCACUGACUGCUCUGCGGCACAUACGGCUGAGAUGAAGACAAGCAGGGUACCGACCCAACAACCCGCUGAUGUUAGUCCUGGAUAAUGAAAGUGCAGAAGUUCAAGUCGACCCCGUAAGCUGCAGACAGCCGGUAUGGCAGGAGGAUGGGCUGCUGGCUCUCUCAGUCCCUGUACUGGAUAAGGAGUUAUGGAGGAUGGACAGGUGGAUGGAUGGAUGGAUGGAUGGAUGAAUUAGUUAACAGUGCAUGGGAGUUUUACUUACACAAACAUUUUCUGAGGGCAGAAUGAAAAAUGAUUGGUUCAGAGAGGUAACCAAUCAGAUUGUGGAGGAGGUGGAAUGUAACAAUCAGAUGUCUUGGUACCACCUCCUCAAUUUGCAUGGACCCACCUCCUCUACAGUCUGAUUGGUUACCUCUCUGAACCAAUCAUUUCCCAUUAUCCCCUCAGAACAUAUGUGUAUGUUCUGAGGUAAAACUCCCAUGAGCUAAUUAACAUUGCUAUGAUGGUGCACUGCUACCUUAAAAAAAGUAAUGCAAAAGUCAUUCUAAGCAAAGUAUGUUAAACCAAAGUAUGUUCACACAAACAGGGAAUCUCCAUUUGCCUAUGACUCUCAUACAUGCAGUAGAUACACAGUUAAGACAAGACAAUGGUCACAUUCAGUCCAUUUGAUAAAUAUACAAUGAGCAUGUUAUUGUAUUGUGUAUGUGAUUGAUAAAUGUACAAAAAGUGCAGGAGUCCAUUUUAGUGUAAGGAAUGAUGGAAUAAAUACAAUUUGUGCAAAAAA